rnacentral:rRNA from 1 species
ACGGAAGGCAGCAGUGGGGGAUAUUGCACAAUGGGGGAAACCCUGAUGCAGCAACGCCGCGUGAGGGAAGACGGUCUUCGGAUUGUAAACCUAAGUUGUCAGGGACGAUAAUGACGGUACCUGAAUAGAAAGCUCCGGCUAACUACGUGCCAGCAGCCGCGGUAAUACGUAGGGAGCGAGCGUUGUCCGGAUUUACUGGGUGUAAAGGGUGCGUAGGCGGGUCUGCAAGUCAGACGUGAAAUACCGGAGCUCAACUCCGGGGCUGCGUUUGAAACUGUAGAUCUUGAGUGAAGUAGAGGUAAGCGGAAUUCCUAGUGUAGCGGUGAAAUGCGUAGAUAUUAGGAGGAACACCAGUGGCGAAGGCGGCUUACUGGGCUUUAACUGACGCUGAGGCACGAAAGCGUGGGGAGCAAACAGGAUUAGAUACCCUGGUA